rnacentral:rRNA from 1 species
AUACGUAGGGGGCGAGCGUUGUCCGGAAUGAUUGGGCGUAAAGGGCGCGUAGGCGGCCCGGUAAGUCUGGAGUGAAAGUCCUGCUUUUAAGGUGGGAAUUGCUUUGGAUACUGUCGGGCUUGAGUGCAGGAGAGGUAAGUGGAAUUCCCAGUGUAGCGGUGAAAUGCGUAGAGAUUGGGAGGAACACCAGUGGCGAAGGCGACUUACUGGACUGUAACUGACGCUGAGGCGCGAAAGUGUGGGGAGCAAACAGGAUUAGAUACCCUGGUAGUCCACACUGUAAACGAUGAAUGCUAGGUGUAGGGGGUAUCGACCCCUUCUGUGCCGCAGUUAACACAAUAAGCAUUCCGCCUGGGGAGUACGGCCGCAAGGUGGAAACUCAAAUGAAUUGGCGGGG